rnacentral:rRNA from 1 species
GUCCACGCCGUAAACGAUGGGCACUAGGUGCUCCGGGGAGCGACCCUUGGAGUACCGGCGCUAACGCAUGAAGUGCCCCGCCUGGGGAGUACGGCCGCAAGGCUGAAACUCAAAGGAAUUGACGGGGGCCCCGCACAAGCGGUGGAGCAUGUGGUUUAAUUCGACGCAACGCGCAGAACCUUACCUAGGCUUGACAUGCACGGGAAAGCUGCUGGAAACAGUGGCCCCUCUUCGGAGCUCGUGCACAGGUGCUGCAUGGCUGUCGU